rnacentral:rRNA from 1 species
CAACGGAAGUGGCUUACUGUUGUGGAGGAGGGGGGAGUGCGGUGGUGGCGGCGGCGGCGGCGCGAGCGAGCGGCCUAAGGCGACGUAAAAGAAGGGCGGGCUCGGGAGGAGCGGGGAAGGGUGUCAGAGUGACGACGCCGUUCGAGGAAGAACAAGGUUUAAAGCGGUGCUGCUCGACUGUAGCCGCUCACUGGGGUGGGCGCCCGGUACCGCAGCGACCGAAGAGACAGGUAGAUGUGGCACGGCCCCGCGCGGCCGGCACGCCUUAGGCAAGUGUGGGGAGCGGCCGCCGCAUACCGCCACCACGCCCGCUUCCACGCGCUCUAGAAGUACGGACGCGACUCGAGCUGCUACUGCCUCCCGUUCUAGCAGAGGACCUGCUGGCGGCUCCCUCUGGCGCAGAGGUUCCCGCUGUGGCACCACCAGCAGCUCAGGCUGUUCCGUCCGUACCUACACCUCUGGAAGGUGCUGCCGUAGUAGCGGCGGCAGGAGCAGGGCCGGCCACCCUGACGGGAGCAGCCGCGGGGGUAGCGGGAGGAGCGGCUCAGUCUCCUCCUACAGCGGGAGCGAGUCCGGGCACGGGUCCGGGAUAUGUUCCGGAUCCCGCUUCUUUGGGGAGGAGGGGUACGACGGCGGUGCCGAGGUGGAUGGCACCGGGGACGAGGCCGUGGUCACCGGCGCGGCUGCUUACCGUAGCGAUGCGGAGUACGGUUCUUCGAGCGCUUCGUCGUGUCUCACCUGUAGAGGUUACAACAGCCGUGUCCCGAUUUGCCGGCGUAGUGCCGCCGACUGCAACUCCGUCGACGACCAUAGGUCAGUUUCGGUUUCCGGCGAGGUGGAGGUGGAGGACGUCGAGCGAGACGCGGAGGCCGACCGUGUGGUAAUCAUUGACGUCAGUCUGUUGGUCCUCACGAAGGAGGUCACGGACCACGCUGACACCACGGUAAGUGUAGCUACGUUAGCCGCCACUCGUCCUUGUACCACCUCUCGAACAGUCACGGUUGCAAGGCUCAACCCAUACGGUAGUUCUGACUAUUCGAACUACGUGAAAUACUCUUCCAAUUCAACUUUCCCCAAUGUUUUUGUAACAACGACCACUUUCGCCGUCCGUACCGUGAACGAGUCGUGGGUCAACACUUACGGUCGACGUCCCUACCUUUCUCGAAGUCAAUGUUGUCAUCAUAGUUGUAACGCCACCGCCAACGGUAGCUCCCGCCGGAAGAAUGUGGACAUAAUCUCCUACAACUAUUCAACCUAUAUAUAUAGAUAGACGAGCGCGUUUUUACCUCUCGGGACGAGUUCUUCUGCGCAUACUUCGUCGAGGUUGGUUUACUUAUGUUGAGUCCCUGCAAAAGCGACAGGUUAGAACCAUACAAACCCCAUCUGGCUAAACUACGUUAGGAAGGUGGACCAGUCCCCCGAUAGUACCGACAACCUCGUAGCUCUGGAUGACAAUAACGACUGUUCCUACCAAAAAAGUCAUAGUUCUUGCUUUACGACCAGUUACAAUGACGACUAGUGUCCUAAUAUAUACCGCGACUGAACCGUCAUAAACACGUUUGUAAACGUUUCUAACAGCUCCUGGGACUCUCGAAUUGUGACAUCUUCUCUUCAAGGAGCCUUCACACGGGUACUAAAUAGACCAAGGUUAACCUUGUACUAUCCUUAUUACAAUACCUCUUAAGCGCUUCCGUAAUUUUAACAUCUUAUCGGUGUCUAUUAAGACAUAUGAGUAGAAAAAACCUACAUCUACGGGACUAAGUCGUUCGGUACUUGUUAAGAUGAGAAACCCCACAAUUAUUAUUACGUUUUCUAGAAAUGUAAGUCGUUCGGUACUUGUUAAGACAUAUGAGUCGACUUCCGCGGGGUCUGCGAGUGCGAAGGCCAGCUAGUCCACCGAGAGGUC